AGAGUUGAUUAUGGCUCAGGAUGAACGCUAGCGAUAGGCCUAACACAUGCAAGUCGAGGGGCAGCACAUGAGUAGCAAUACGAUGGUGGCGACCGGCGCACAGGUGAGUAACACGUAUGCAACCUACCUUUAACAGGGGGAUAACCCGUUGAAAGACGGACUAAUACUCCAUGACACAGGGGUCCCGCAUGGGAAUAUUUGUUAAAGAUUUAUCGGUUGAAGAUGGGCAUGCGUUCCAUUAGCUAGUUGGUGAGGUAACGGCCCACCAAGGCAACGAUGGAUAGGGGAACUGAGAGGUUUAUCCCCCACACUGGAACUGAGACACGGUCCAGACUCCUACGGGAGGCAGCAGUGAGGAAUAUUGGUCAAUGGAGGCAACUCUGAACCAGCCAAGUCGCGUGAAGGAUGAAGGUCUUAUGGAUUGUAAACUUCUUUUUCAAGGGAAUAAAGUGGGGGACGUGUCCUCCUUUGCAUGUACCUUGCGAAUAAGGAUCGGCUAACUCCGUGCCAGCAGCAGC
rnacentral:rRNA from 1 species